AUUGAACGCUGGCGGCAGGCUUAACACAUGCAAGUCGAGCGAGCGGCGGACGGGUGAGUAAUGUCUGGGAAACUGCCUGAUGGAGGGGGAUAACUACUGGAAACGGUAGCUAAUACCGCAUACCAUCAGAUGUGCCCAGAUGGGAUUAGCUAGUAGGUGGGGUAAUGGCUCACCUAGGCGACGAUCCCUAGCUGGUCUGAGAGGAUGCCCAGCCACACUGGAACUGAGAAACGGUCCAUCUUCCUACGGGAGGCGGCAGUGGGGAAUAUUGCACAAGGGGCGCAAGCCGGAUGCAGCAUUGCGGCGUGUGUGAAGAAGGCCUUCGGGUUGUAAAGCACUUUCAGCGAGGAGGCGUUACUCGCAGAAGAUGCACCGGCUAACUCAGUGCCAGCCGCCGGGGUAAUAC
rnacentral:rRNA from 1 species